GUGAAGAGAAUGCUGUUGCUAAAAAUGCCAGGAGGAAGACGACAAUAAGUCAGAAUGUUAAUGAAGAUCCACUUCAUCUUGGGAGAAGCAAACUUUUAGGAAUUCACUUCUGUUGAAUCAUUCCAAUGGCAAUUCAAUACAGGGCAACGUUCCUAGCUUCUGGUGGCCUGCUUGUAGAAACCAGUUCCAGAACGCCUAGUGGACAAUAUAUGACUGAAUAUGAGGAGCCACAGUGGUCAAAAAUCUAAUGUGAACACCUGGAUAGACUGCAGACCCUAACCUACGGUGGAACAUUGGGCCGGCAACGCUGUCGUAAAUGGUAUGGAGCACUUUCUGAAGGAAGCCCAUGAUUUUCUUGCCUGGCAUGAACUGGUCACUGUUCCUUUACCGGGGAAAAUACUGGUUGUGAGGACAGCACAGGCAAAGUCCGAAGU
rnacentral:lncRNA from 12 species